CCUACGGGUGGCAGCAGUGAGGAAUAUUGGUCAAUGGGCGCGAGCCUGAACCAGCCAAGCGGCGUGAAGGAUGACUGCCCUACGGGUUGUAAACUUCUUUUAUAAAGGAAUAAAGUGAGGCACGUGUGCCUUUUUGUAUGUACUUUAUGAAUAAGGAUCGGCUAACUCCGUGCCAGCAGCCGCGGUAAUACGGAGGAUCCGAGCGUUAUCCAGAUUUUUUGGGUUUAAAGGGAGCGUAGAUGGGGUGUUAAGUCAGUUGUGAAAGUUUGGGGCUCAACCGUAAGAUUGCAAUUGAUACUGGCAGUCUUGAGUACAGGUGAGGUAGGCGGAAUUCGUGGUGUAGCGGUGAAAUGCUUAGAUAUCACGAAGAACUCCGAUUGCGAAGGCAGCAUACUAAACUGCCACUGACGGUGAUGCUCGAAAGUGUGGGUAUCAAACAGGAUUAGAUACCCCAGUAGUC
rnacentral:rRNA from 1 species